rnacentral:rRNA from 1 species
AUACGUAGGUGGCAAGCGUUGUCCGGAAUUAUUGGGCGUAAAGCGCGCGCAGGCGGUCCUUUAAGUCUGAUGUGAAAGCCCCCGGCUUAACCGUGGAGGGCCAUUGGAAACUGGGGGACUUGAGUGUCGAAGAGGAAAGUGGAAUUCCAAGUGUAGGGGUGAAAUGCGUAGAGAUUUGGAGGAACACCAGUGGCGAAGGCGACUUUCUGGUCUGAAACUGACGCUGAGGCGCGAAAGCGUGGGGAGCAAACAGGAUUAGAUACCCUGGUAGUCCACGCCGUAAACGAUGAGUGCUAAGUGUUAGGGGGGUUCCGCCCCUUAGUGCUGCAGCUAACGCAUUAAGCCCUCCGCCUGGGGAGUACGGUCGCAAGACUGAAACUCAAAUGAAUUGACGGGG